CAGCAAUAUUUCUUUUUAGGUUGUUUUACCUACCCUGGCAUGUUUGAGGCUAGCAGUGUAUGAGGAAGGAGGGAAAUUUAUUGGCCAUCGGAUAUUACCAGUUUCAGCAAUUCGACCAGGCUACCACUACAUCUGUUUGAGGAAUGAGAGGAACCAACCUUUGACACUGCCAGCUCUCUUUGUGUACAUAGAGGUCAAAGACUAUGUGCCUGAUACUUACGCAGAUGUGAUCGAGGCCUUAUCCAAUCCAAUCAGAUAUGUAAACUUGAUGGAGCAGAGAGCUAAGCAGUUGGCAGCACUGACUCUGGAAGAUGAAGAAGAGGUAAAGAAAGAGGUAAGGGAGGUUUUACGAGUCU